AGUGAACGCUGGCGGUAGGCCUAACACAUGCAAGUCGAACGGCAGCACAGUAAGCGCUUGCUCUUACGGGUGGCGAGUGGCGGACGGGUGAGGCAUACAUCGGAAUCUACUUUUUCGUGGGGGAUAACGUAGGGAAACUUACGCUAAUACCGCAUACGACCUACGGGUGAAAGCAGGGGAUCUUCGGACCUUGCGCGAUUGAAUGAGCCGAUGUCGGAUUAGCUAGUUGGCGGGGUAAAGGCCCACCAAGGCGACGAUCCGUAGCUGAUCUGAGAGGAUGAUCAGCCACACUGGAACUGAGACACGGUCCAGACUCCUACGGGAGGCAGCAGUGGGGAAUAUUGGACAAUGGGCGCAAGCCUGAUCCAGCCAUACCGCGUGGGUGAAGAAGGCCUUCGGGUUGUAAAGCCCUUUUGUUGGGAAAGAAAAGCAGCAGGUUAAUACCCCGCUGUUCUGACGGUACCCAAAGAUUAAGCACCGGCUAACUUCGUG
rnacentral:rRNA from 1 species